rnacentral:rRNA from 1 species
GAUGAACGCUAGCUACAGGCUUAACACAUGCAAGUCGAGGGGAAACGACGGCGGGGUUUCGGCCUUGCCGGGCGUCGACCGGCGGAUGGGUGAGUAACGCGUAUCCAACCUGCCCCUGUCCCGGGCACAGCCCUUGGAAACGAGGAUUAACGCCCGGCGCUGCCAUUUGGCCGCAUGGCUGUUUGGCGAAAUGCAAAGGAGAGGGAUGGGGAUGCGUCCGAUUAGCUUGUUGGCGGGGUAACGGCCCACCAAGGCGACGAUCGGUAGGGGUUCUGAGAGGAAGGCCCCCCACAUUGGGACUGAGACACGGCCCAAACUCCUACGGGAGGCAGCAGUGAGGAAUAUUGGUCAAUGGCCGGGAGGCUGAACCAGCCAAGUAGCGUGCAGGACGACGGCCCUAUGGGUUGUAAACUGCUUUUAUGCGGGGAUAAAGAGGGGGACGCGUCCCCCGUUGCAGGUACCGCAUGAAUAAGGACCGGCUAAUUCCGUGCCAGCAGCCGCGGUAAUACGGAAGGUCCGGGCGUUAUCCGGAUUUAUUGGGUUUAAAGGGAGCGCAGGCGGGAGCGCAAGUCAGCCGUCAAAUGUCCCGGCUCAACCGGGUCGUGCGGUUGAAACUGCGCUUCUUGGGUGCACAAGAGGCAGGCGGAACUCGUGGUGUAGCGGUGAAAUGCAUAGAUAUCACGAAGAACCCCGAUUGCGAAGGCAGCCUGCUGGGGUGCUACCGACGCUCAUGCUCGAAGGCGCGGGUAUCAAACAGGAUUAGAUACCCUGGUAGUCCGCGCAGUAAACGAUGGAUGCCCGCGGUGUGGCCUAUUUGGCUGCGCCGCCAAGCGAAAGCGUUAAGCAUCCCACCUGGGGAGUACGCCGGCAACGGUGAAACUCAAAGGAAUUGACGGGGGCCCGCACAAGCGGAGGAACAUGUGGUUUAAUUCGAUGAUACGCGAGGAACCUUACCCGGGCUUGAAAGGUUGCGGACGGGAGGCAGAGACGCCUUCUUUCUUCGGACCGCAUCCUAGGUGCUGCAUGGUUGUCGUCAGCUCGUGCCGUGAGGUGUCGGCUCAAGUGCCAUAACGAGCGCAACCCCUACCGCCGGUUACCAUCGGGCAAUGCCGGGGACUCCGGCGGCACUGCCGCCGCAAGGCGCGAGGAAGGUGGGGAUGACGUCAAAUCAGCACGGCCCUUACGUCCGGGGCUACACACGUGUUACAAUGGGGGGCACAGCGAGCUGGACAUGGGCGACCAUGUUCGAAUCAACAAAUCCCCUCCCAGUUCGGACUGGAGUCUGCAACCCGACUCCACGAAGCUGGAUUCGCUAGUAAUCGCGCAUCAGCCAUGGCGCGGUGAAUACGUUCCCGGGCCU